UUAGUUUAAAUCAUUGAGAAUUUACACUUUAAAAAUUGAACUUACAUAAAAUGGUGGGACAUACAUUUAUUUCAUCCAA
rnacentral:pre_miRNA from 1 species